rnacentral:lncRNA from 1 species
AAUGCCACAACUGACCACCUUGCUUUAAACUGAUGAAAUUUUCUUUGAUUUGAAACAGGGGCAAAAACAACAGUUGUGUCAGGAAACACCCGGUGAAGGAAAUAGCAAUCAGGCGUCCACCUGGAGAAAAAGGAAAAAGAAAGGAAAUAGCAAUCAGGCAGUCCACCUGGAGAACAAGGAUGAAGAAAAGAAAUAGCAAUCAGGCGUCCACCUGGAGAACAAGGAUGAAGAAAGGAAAUAGCAAUCAGGUGUCCAUCUGGAGAACAAGGAUGAGGAAAGGAAAUAGCAAUCAGGCGUCCACCUGGAGAACAAGGAUGAAGAAAGAAUUAGCA